ACCACGGGAAUCGGGUCAGGCCCGGAAGGGAGCAGCCCCACCGUGGACU
rnacentral:SRP_RNA from 1 species